rnacentral:rRNA from 1 species
AAAUGAAUAGACGGGGGCCCGCACAAGCGGAGGAACAUGUGGUUUAAUUCGAUGAUACGCGAGGAACCUUACCUGGGUUUAAAUGCAGGACGCCGUCCCGAGAAAUCGGGAUUUCUUCGGACGGACUGCAAGGUGCUGCAUGGUUGUCGUCAGCUCGUGCCGUGAGGUGUCGGAUUAAGUUCCAUAACGAGCGCAACCCCUAUCGUUAGUUACCAGCGGAUAAUGCCGGGGACUCUAACGAGACUGCCGGUGUAAACCGAGAGGAAGGUGGGGAUGACGUCAAAUCAGCACGGCCCUUAUAUCCAGGGCUACACACGUGUUACAAUGGCCAGUACAAAGGGCAGCUACCUCGCGAGAGGAUGCUAAUCUCCAAAACUGGUCUCAGUUCGGAUUGGAGUCUGCAACUCGACUCCAUGAAGCUGGAUUCGCUAGUAAUCGCGCAUCAGCCAUGGCGCGGUGAAUACGUUCCCGGGCCUUGUACACACCGCCCGU